UACGUAUGGUGCAAGCGUUAUCCGGAUUUACUGGGCGUAAAGGGAGCGCAGGCGGUGUGCCAAGUCUGAUGUGAAACCCCGGGGCUCAACCCCGGGCAAGCAUUGGAAACUGGCGGGCUGGAGUGCCGGAGAGGUAAGCGGAAUCCCUAGUGUAGCGGUGAAAUGCGUAGAUAUUAGGAGGAACACCAGUGGCGAAGGCGGCUUACUGGACGGCAACUGACGCUGAGGCUCGAAAGCGUGGGGAGCAAACAGG
rnacentral:rRNA from 1 species